AGUCCAGUUUAUCUUCUAGCAGUUUGAUUCAGUAAUUUGCAGCAAACACAUAAUCAAAAAGCAACAACAGUGCAGUGAAAAAGAUGUGAAAGUUUAUUUCACCUUUAUUUAUACUUUUGAAUCUCAUUGAGACACAAGUUAUAACUUUCAAGACUGACUGUAACGUAAUAAAACAUUUCAUAAUGUCCAGCAUUCAUAUAACCAAUAAACUGAGAAAAUGCAGCAAUAAAAAAAGAGAAAACUGUGAA